AGAUUUCCAAGAUCCCAUUUGGAAUGAAUUUGCUAUCCAUGAAAACAAACACCCCCAAAGGUAAUGAUAUUGUGCUUGGUUCAUACAUCCCAAACCUAACAUGGAACUACAGCUAUUGAAAUUUUUGAGCAAAUCAGGUUAUAUAUGAAUUUACUCUAACCAGUAAGCAUAACAUUCGCAAACAUAAACCACAUAAUUUAUCAUAAGCAUCGCAUUGGAGUACAUCAGAGAGUAUUCAUUCAAACAAAGCUAAAAUAAAAUCCUAAGUUACACAACAUCAGUUGACAAGGCAGUAUUCAUUCAAACAAAGCUGAAAUAAAAUCCUAAGUUACACAACAUCAGUUGACAAGGCAGUAAGUAGUCCAUGUUACUCUGCAACUUUCUUCUUCUUAGGCAUUCUGUAACCACCAACAACACAAGCAUGGUCCCUCUC
rnacentral:lncRNA from 1 species